rnacentral:rRNA from 1 species
ACUCCUACGGGAGGCAGCAGUGGGGAAUAUUGGGCAAUGGGGGGAACCCUGACCCAGCAACGCCGCGUGAGGGAAGAAGGUUUUCGGAUCGUAAACCUCUGUCCUUGGUGAAGAGGAAGAGACGGUAGCCAAGGAGGAAGCCCCGGCUAACUACGUGCCAGCAGCCGCGGUAAUU